rnacentral:rRNA from 1 species
AGUAAAGUGGCGCACGGGUGAGUAACGCGUAGGUAAUCUACCCCUGUGUUCGGGACAACAUCGGGAAACUGGUGCUAAUACCGGAUACGUUUCACGGAUUGCGAAAUAAGUGAAGGAAAGGUGGCGCCCCUUCGGGGGGCUAUUGCACGGGGAUGAGCCUGCGUACCAUUAGCUAGUUGGCAGGGUAAGGGCCUACCAAGGCGACGAUGGUUAGCGGGUCUGAGAGGAUGAUCCGCCACACUGGAACUGAAACACGGUCCAGACUCCUACGGGAGGCAGCAGUGAGGAAUUUUGCACAAUGGGGGAAACCCUGAUGCAGCGACGCCGCGUGAGUGACGAAGCCUUCGGGUCGUAAAGCUCUGUCAGCAGGGAAGAAAUGUGCGAUGGCUAAUAUCCAUUGUACUUGACGGUACCUGCAAAGGAAGCACCGGCUAACUCCGUGCCAGCAGCCGCGGUAAUACGGAGGGUGCGAGCGUUGUUCGGAUUUACUGGGGCGUAAAG